CUAGUGACAGAGUAAGGGGAUGACUGGUGACAGAGGGAGGGAGGUGGUGACUAGUGACAGCGGUGAUGACUGUCACUAGUCACUAGUCACCAUCUCCCUCCCUCUGUCCCUAGUCACCCCUCCCUCUGUCACUAGUUACCCCUUCCCUCCCUAACUCUCUCACUAGUCACACCCUCCCUCACUCUGUCACUAG